rnacentral:lncRNA from 1 species
UUUAGGGUUCACUUCACUUCCGACUUCUCAGUUCCGACUGGCGACUACCGGUGCUCAUCCGAGUCUGACUGCCACUGCUCUUAUUCUCUUAUGAGUUUCGAUUGCCGUUGAUCCGCCGGCAUUCACUGUUACUCCACUGGUCACUGCUUAGUCUGCUCUUCGCCAAUCACCUGUUUCUUCUUUAGGUAAUAUUUUUUCCAGUGUUGAAAUAUAAAUUACAUGAUCUGAGAGUUCUACUUCAUUGUAUUAUUGGUGUUAGAGACUUGAAUUUAGUUCCUAAUAUCAUGUUCUUGAGUUUGUAUUAUGUAUAGUAGUUUACAUUUUUUUUUAAUUCUCUUUUCAUUAAAUUUUCUAUAGAUAGAAGAAGUUGAAAGUAGAGUAAAUGAGGUGGGUUCAACCGAAAGUGAGCCUACUUCUUCACCUACAAAUUCAAUUGAAACUAGUCAAGGUCCAAAAAACAAAAAUCCAUACAAUCUAGAUCAGAAGCUUGGGAUCAUUUUGAAAAAUAUAAAGAUGGAAAUGGAGCCGAUAGAGUGAAGUGUAAAUAUUGUGGUCGUGAUUAUAAGGCCGAUACAUAAUUGAAUGGAACAACAUCCCUGAAUACUCAUUUAAAGAAGUGUCCAAAAAUUUCGAAGAAUAUUGUUGAUAGUACUCAAACGUAAUUGUCUUUCAAAAUAGAUUGGAAAACAAAGGGGGGGGGGUGCUAUGAAAAUUUGAUCAAGAACUAGUUAGUAUGACUUUAGUUGAGAUAAUAAUUACAGAGGAACUACCUUUUAGUUUUGUUGAAAAGACAGGCUUUAGAACGUUCAUGAGUAUCGCCCAACCUUUGUUUCAUGUUCUUUCUCAUAGAAUAAUUACGAGAGAUUGUUUUCAAGUUUAUGGUGAAGAAAUACUAAAACUAUUGAAGAAUUUUGAUGUAAAACCAAAAAUUUGCCUUACCACCGACACAUGGACUUCAUUACAAUGAAUAAAUUAUAUGUGUCUGACUGGUCACUUUAUUGAUAGAGAUUGGGUGUUACAUAAAAGAAAACUAAAUUUUAUCCAUAUCUCUAGUCAUAAGGGUGAUGAGAUGCCAAAAGUUAUUAGUAAUUAUUUGCUUGAAUGGAGAUUAGGCAAGGUAUUCACUGUUACGAUUUAUAACGCUUCUUCCAAUGAUUUAACGGUUAAAGAAUUAUCUAAAUAAUUAGAUAUGUGGAAAACUAAUUCGAUGAGUGGUAAGCAUCUUCAUGUGAGGUGAAUGGCUCACGUAGUUAAUCUAAUUAUGCAAGAUGGUUUAAAAGAAACCGAUGUUUCUGUUAAACGUGUUAGACAAAUUGUGAGGUAUGUGAGAUCAUCACCUCAAAGGACCUUAAAGUUUAAGAAGUGUUGUGCACAUUAAGAGGUAGAAUGUACCAAAAUAUUAUGUUUAGAUGUUCCUACUAGGUGAAAUUCCGCCUACUUGAUGUUGGAUACGGAGCAAAAUUUUGAGAAGGCCUUUGAUAAGUUUCAUAUUUUUAAUGAUGGAUUUUCUACUUAUGUUUGUUCUCAUAUUUGUGAAGAUGGGAAGAUUGUAGCUCCACUCGAAUGUGAUGAUUGAGUGAAUAUUAGAUGUGAUAAAGUUUCUUAAAAGAUUUCACGAGCUCACCGAAAAAGUUUCAGGUUCACGUUAUGUCACUUCUAAUUGUCAUUUUGAGGAUAUAUGUGAACUUGAUAAUCAUUUGAAAGCUUGUUUGGCAAGUGAAGAUACUAGUUUGAGUAAGAUGGCAGAGGAUGGAAGAAAAUUUUAAGAAAUAUUGGGGUGAACCAGAAAAGAUGAAUAAAAUAAUAUUUAUUGCUUCUGUAUUAGAUCCCCGUAACAAAUUGGAGUAUGUUGGUUUUGCACUUGGAAAAAUAUUUGGGAUGAAGAAGGAAAGAAAAUAACUGUUGAAGCGAAGGCUUAUAUGACUUCUUUGUUUGGAGAGUAUCAACAAAAAUAUUCAAGAGGAUAUCAUCUUCAAUCAUGUUCAUUUACAUCUAGUUCAUCUAAUGACACAUCUGAUACAUCUAGUGGGAGUGAGAGUAUGAGAACAAAAAAAGUGAGAACAAAGCUUCAAUUAAAGAGACAAAAGGAAGACUCUGGGAGUGCGGGUGCUAAAUCGGAGUUGGAAAGAUAUAUUAGUGAAGAACAAGAGCUUGCGUCUGAUUCUGAUGACUUUAAAAUCUUAGAUUGGUGGAAACUUAAUGCACAUAGAUUUCAUGUUCUUUCUGAGCUAGCUCGUGAUGUAUUGGCCAUUCCAAUUUCUAGUGUGACAUCAGAAUGCGCAUUUAGCACCAGUGACCGCAUUCUUGAUUCAUUUAGGAGUUCAUUGACUCCUCGGUUGGCGCAAAGUCUUGUUUGUGUUUAAGAUUGGUUUAGAUGCGAGAGUAAUCCUAUUAAUAUUGAAGAAGAUUUGGAGUUUCUUGAACAAUUUGAACUUGGUAAGAUUUUUGUGUUUAAUAUGGUUUUUAGUGCAAAAUAAUUUAGUUAUGUUAUAUGACACACUUUGUCAAAUAAUAUUUAGAUAUGACAAAUAGUGGAAUAGAAACCUGCAUUGUUGAAAGGGAUGCAAGUUAGUUAAAUGGCAAGUUUAUAGAUUUGCUUGUUUUGUGAUAUCUUUUUGUUAUUUAUUAGUUAAAAAGAUUGUAUUUAACUUGUGAUCUUUUUUUAAUUUGUAGGUUCAACCAUGCCUUGCGGUCCUAAAACUAGAUCGCCUAUUUGGAAAUAUUUUGAGAUUGUUGAAGAAAAUGAAGGGCACAAAGGUAAGUGCGUUCAUUGUGGUCGAGUUUAUAAUUUUAAUCCGAAGGUUAAUGUAACUUUUGCUUUAAUGAAACAUAUUGAGAAGAAGUGUCUUCUCCUUCAUCUAAGGUUGGAGAUUCAUAUUUAACUAUCUAAGUUUGGUUAUGGCACUUGGUGUUAUUUGGUGACCUUUUACCAAACUUAAUUUGUGGCUUUUGUGAUAGUCACUAUUUGGUUAGACUUAUUAUGGCUUUUGUGAUAGUCACUAUUAUGUGUUUAAGUUGUCAUGUAUUGUGUUAGAACUUUGAUGGCUGGAAAUAUUUCUGCCCGAUUAUUGUUUGAUCAAAUGUUUCUGCCAAGAUGGAAACAGUAGCCACAUAUUGUGUUUGAAUUUUUGCUUUUUGGACUUUUGCUUCCUUUGCAGUCAGAUGCUUUUUGGCUUUUUGCUUACUAGUGUUGUCUGCAAAUUGCAAUUUCACUGAAGGUGCACGCAAUUGCUAUUGCAACGUCAGUGCACUGCAGUUUGUAACAAAGGAAUAUAUAUUAGUGGAAGGUGCAAUUCCACUGAUAUAUGGUAAAGUACACACUCAUUUGUUAUGAAGUACUCUAGUUUUUAUGUUGAAAUCCUUAUGUAUUUUGUUCUAUAAAUCAUAAAAGUCACUUAUGUGGAGAAUAUUACUUGUUUAGAUCAUAAUACUAUUGAAAGAACAGAUUUUUACCUUUCAGAAAAAAGAAAAUGGUGUUUCAGUUCUUCAGUGCAUCAACCGGCCAUUAAUGUUUUUUGUUGAGUGGAACUUCAAAUUUCAGAAGCAAAUACAUGAUUGUGGUUACCUGCCUAGCUAUUUUUUUUGUUAAGCUAGUUUCAAUCCAAAAUAACCUUGUAAAACGGUUUGUUAUUUUGAUGGCUGUAAGGUCAUAAAAUACAAGGUCAG